rnacentral:miRNA from 1 species
AAAUUCUGUCGGCAACUCUUUGG